rnacentral:rRNA from 1 species
UACGAAGGGGGCUAGCGUUGCUCGGAAUGACUGGGCGUAAAGCGCACGUAGGCGGUUCGUUAUGUCGGAUGUGAAAGCCCUUGGCUUAACCGAGGAAGUGCAUCCGAAACUGGCGAGCUAGAGUACGAAAGAGGGUCGUGGAAUUCCCAGUGUAGAGGUGAAAUUCGUAGAUAUUGGGAAGAACACCGGUGGCGAAGGCGGCGACCUGGUCCUUGACUGACGCUGAGGCGCGAAAGCGUGGGGAGCAAACAGG